UCAGAUGAAUUUGCUUUAUUAGCACAUAUUUGAGCCUUUUUUUUUUUUGAGAAUAGGAGAAAACAAGUUAUAAACUAAUCAUAAUUAGUAUACUAGACAACAAAUAAUUGAUUAGUUGCAAUUAUUUAGAUUACUACUCCAUCCACAAUUUCAUGCCUUCAUAAAAAGCCUCCGCUCCACCGUAAUUUCUCUCUUCCCAAUCACUGUCGACUUCAAUAAGCAACUCGGACCAUCCCGUUUCAGGUAAAUAAAAUAUUUUUUGCAUUCUUUUAUUGAAUCAAAGUAUUUCAACAUAUUUGCAAGUUUUUAUUUCAGUUUGGGUUAUUUCUUGUCAGAGUUCUGAUCUGAGUUUUCAAUUUCUUGACCUGGGGCUGUGAUUUCUUGGCUUCUUGUUUGGCCCCAUACACAAGUUUUAACAAUGACCAAUUCUUAAUUCCACACACAUUACAACAUAUUCAACUCUUUUUUUUCUUUUGUACUUUGUGUUAUGGAUUGGAUUAUACAUACCCAAAAUUUCUUCACCAUUUUCUUAAAUUCCUCAAAUUUUCUUGAUUUCAUUAAACCCCUUUUUUGCUGUUAUAGUAAGUAGCCAUGGUGAAGGUUGCUGUCAUGGUGGUUCAAGCUUUGGAAAUAACCUCUUACAUAAAUGCAAGAUUUUCUGACGAAAUCACGGCGACUACGGCAAAGAUACAUCCAUCAGCUUCUCCGGGAUGAGUGCAGGUGAAUUUUAUCCUCAAAAUUCCCACCAACUGUAUGCAUAAUUUUCACUAUUGUGUAGUUCUCAAUGAAAAAAUAUCUCAAAUAAGCACAAAUUGAGCUUAUUAAGUGAUGUGUCAUAUUUAAUUCCAAAGGAGUUGAUACUCUGUUUCAUUUGGCUUGUGUUCUUUCUGUCUCUUUUUUUUGGGUAAGUUUGAUUAAUGUAACUUACUGGGGAAAUGUUGAUGUGUAUGACCUGUUAUUUAACA